rnacentral:rRNA from 1 species
UAGAGUUUGAUCCUGGCUCAGGACGAACGCUGGCGGCGUGCCUAAUACAUGCAAGUAGAACGCUGAAGGAGGAGCUUGCUCUUCUGGAUGAGUUGCGAACGGGUGAGUAACGCGUAGGUAACCUGCCUGGUAGCGGGGGAUAACUAUUGGAAACGAUAGCUAAUACCGCAUAACAGUAGAUGUUGCAUGACAUUUGCUUAAAAGGUGCAAUUGCAUCACUACCAGAUGGACCUGCGUUGUAUUAGCUAGUUGGUGGGGUAACGGCUCACCAAGGCGACGAUACAUAGCCGACCUGAGAGGGUGAUCGGCCACACUGGGACUGAGACACGGCCCAGACUCCUACGGGAGGCAGCAGUAGGGAAUCUUCGGCAAUGGACGGAAGUCUGACCGAGCAACGCCGCGUGAGUGAAGAAGGUUUUCGGAUCGUAAAGCUCUGUUGUAAGAGAAGAACGAGUGUGAGAGUGGAAAGUUCACACUGUGACGGUAUCUU